GGCCUACCAUGGUGGUAACGGGUAACGGGGAAUUAGGGUUCGAUUCCGGAGAGGGAGCCUGAGAAACGGCUACCACUUCCAAGGAAGGCAGCAGGCGCGCAAAUUACCCAAUCCCGACACGGGGAGGUAGUGACAAUAAAUAACAAUACGGGGCUCUUUCGGGUCUCGUAAUUGGAAUGAGUACAAUUUAAAUCCCUUAACGAGGAACAAUUGGAGGGCAAGUCUGGUGCCAGCAGCCGCGGUAAUUCCAGCUCCAAUAGCGUAUAUUAAAGUUGUUGCAGUUAAAAAGCUCGUAGUUGAAUUUCGGGAUUGACGUGAUGGUCGUGCCUUAAGGGGUAUGAACUGUCGCAGUUGAUUUCUCACCUUCUGGAGAAGCUUGAUGUCCUUAAUUGGGUGUCAUGUGGAACCAGGACCUUUACCUUGAAAAAAUUAGAGUGUUUAAAGCAGGCAUUUUGCUCGAAUACAUUAGCAUGGAAUAAUAGAAUAGGACGGCAUGGUUCUAUUUUGUUGGUUUCUAGGAUCACCGUAAUGAUUAAUAGGGAUAGUUGGGGGCAUUAGUAUUCAAUUGUCAGAGGUGAAAUUCUUGGAUUUAUUGAAGACUAACUACUGCGAAAGCAUUUGCCAAGGAUGUUUUCAUUAAUCAAGAACGAAAGUUAGGGGAUCGAAGACGAUCAGAUACCGUCGUAGUCUUAACCAUAAACUAUGCCGACUAGGAAUCAGACGAUGUUAAUUUUUUAAUGACUCGUUUGGCACCUUACG
rnacentral:rRNA from 1 species